CGUGGUGACCUGCGGAAGGAUCAUUA
rnacentral:rRNA from 2 species